CUCAGAUAUACCUAAAUAUACCAGAAACAGUUGCCAUCAUUUUCAUGCACUGCAGCCAUUGACGAGCUUCGAGGAUUUCUCCCCCCAAUGUCAGAAGCUGCUACUGCAUUAAGGCGAACAUUUAUUUGAUGACCUCCUACCAUCUUCCCUGAAUAGGAAGCGCUUCCACCAGCGCAAAACAGGAAACAGCGAGCGCUCCAUCCUCUCCAGAGAAAUCGGACACAUCCCCCACACACCACCCCUGUCCUCCUCUUCUUCCCACAAUGCCCUGUGGCAGGACUCAGACAGGAACAAUGGAGCAUAUUGUGUGAAAAGUAAUGGACCUCUACCCUUCAGUCGCUCAACAACCGAAGGCCUUCACUGCGAUUAUACUGAACAUGCAACUAUGCACAGGAUGUCUCUUGGUUCCGUCAUCAAGAGUAACUGGUGAUAAGCACAAGUGGCCAACUCUUCAGGAACAGCUCAUGUCCAAGAUUAUGUCACCAUGUUUCAAUCUCUAUGUUGUUGGCAACUCAGCGAGUAAAUUAUCCACAGCAACAGUCACUUCUUGACAUCACAAAUUCUUCUCUUCCAUGGCUGUGAGAGACAGAAAACAGCCCACGCAUUGUGCACAUUCGGGUCCCUGUGGAAUUUGCACAUGCUCCUCCUGAGCUAUUUAAUAAAACACAGAACAGAA